UCUUCAUGUGCCUCCUUGUCUCUGUGUCUGGGCUGGAGCUGCUGGCGCGUCUUCAGGAGUUAAUGAAUCCACUUCAAGAGUCUAAUCACCCACAGGUUCCAGGCUGCUUCAGCUGCUGUUCUUACAGGAUAAGAAAGUUAAAGUCAAGAAGCCAGAAUAUCAUCAAUGUCCAUAAAUACUUUUGUAUUUUUGGCCUUCUGUGAGGGUAGAAGUACUGAUAGAACCCAGGAUAUUUCUACCUUUGGACCAGGCUAGAACACCUGGACAAAUGGAAAUGGCCGCCAUGGACAAGGGGCAAGAAAUGGACUUGCUAAUUAUGCAGGCUCCCUCCCCGAAGCUGCUUCUCUCUUCGACUUCAUCAUGUUCCCGCAUCUUCUUGCUUCACUGUCUCUUUGUGUGAGGGAGAGACCCCAUACCACUUUGCACUCUCUCUGCCUACAAACUGCUUUUAAAGAAUGCUAUUGAGGCUUUGAAAAAAUGAAAAUUAACCAUAGAAAAUACAGGCAGCACUCCAUCCCAGGAGUCAUCCUUGAAUGUUUUUCAUUUGAUCGAGGAGUGAGCAAGGAACUGCUGAGGGAGGAUGGCAAGCAGGAGAGACAGCUGCCAAUGACUGGGUACCAGGACCCGAGUCAUGCAAGAACAGAAGCCAAGAGAGGGAAGAAGCUGAUAGAUGGACAAACACUUGGACACUUGCUGAAGUAGCUUUGCAGGUGCUGUGCUCACUCAGUACAAAGUACCAUAUGGAUAGAUAGGAAGUCUAAAAGCUACCCUGACUUCUGAAUGACACAGCCACCAUUUGGUUACACCUGCAUGCUUCACACAUGGAAACAGCAUUGUAGCAGAACUGACUGUAGUUUUCAUAGUAAAUUUUUUGCUUGGUAUCUUACACAUAUAUUUCAUACAUAUGGGAAAACUGAAGCCUAGAAGGUUUUAAUUACUCAUCUGGGAUAAUUCAGUUAGCAGAGGUCAGUCUGGAGCAUUGGUUCUCAACCUGUGGGAUGUGACCUCUUUCAGGGUCAAAGGACCCUUUCAUGGGGAUUGCUUAUCAGAUAUCCCACAUAUCAGAUAUUUUAGGAAAAUUACAGGUACAAAGCAACAGCAAAAAUAACUUUAUGGUUGUGGGUUUAUACAACAUGAGGAGCUGUAUUAAAGGGUUUAGCACUAGAAAGGUCAAGAACCACUGGCCUAGAACCACAGUCCUGUUUAUGCUUCUCUUCUUUUCAACCAUUGUGGUAUUGAGAUUUCCAUGAUGCUAUUUAUGACUUAACUCAAACAUGGGAGGUUCUGUUUACUUUUCAAGGGUGACUGGGGUUCUUCAUAUAUAACUACCCAAACCCCACCUGUCUUGAUUAGGGUUUUUCUGCUGUGAACAGACACCGUGACCAAGGUAAGGAUUAUAAGGACAGCAUUUAAUUGGGAGAGGCUUACAGAUUCUGAGAUUCUGUCCAUUGUUAUCAAGGAAGGAACAUGUCAGUAUCUAGGCAAGUAUGGUGCAGGAGGGCCCAAGAGUUCUGCAUUUUCAUCUGCAGGCCACUAGGAGAAGAUGGCUUCUAGGCAUCUAGAAAGAGGGUCUAAAAGUCCAUACCCAUGGAGACAAGCCUAAUCCAACAAGGCCACUCCUCCUAAUAGUGCCAUUCUCUGGGCCAAACAUAUACAAGCCAUCAUACCACCUUUUCUCAACAGUCACCAAAGUACACUGAUCUCCAGGUACUUGCUUUGCUCACUACACCUUUAGUAUUUUGCAAUCAUCCAAGAACAAAGAGGGAUUGUUCAAUUGUAAUUUUAGAAAAGUGUCAUUAACCUCCAAGGUCUUUCUUCCUGUGUCUGCAUAAUGCCAUUAUAAAGAAAAAAAUGGUUAUGAAACUAUAAAGAAAAAUAAAUCUCAUGUUAAUGCCAAAGCUUGGCAUUGAUGGUCAGCUCUGGACUCUAUUCCUUCACAGUAACCACAGAGCUAGCAAAUCACAAAACGUCCAUUCUAAAAUCAAAAGGUAGGUACUGAGUCUGCUGCUUCCAAGUCAGAUAAUGCUUGGGAACAAAGAAGACCAUAACAAGCUAAAAAUGAAACUUAGUAAAGUGGGAACAUUCAGAUUUAAGGGAUUUAUGAUCAUAAAUUCUCACCCAGCUCCUCAAAUUUUAUGAAAGCAUCAACUGGUCUCAAAGCCUCAUUAUUACAGACCAAGUCAUCUGAGCUGACAGAGUUUCAAAUGCCCCCAAGUAAUUUCAGGACUUGAAGGGACAAUAGUGAUAGUGGCAAUUACAACAUUCAGAGUCUGUUUUUUUUUUUCUUGCUGAACAGAGACCCAGAAAAAUCAAAUACUUCCCAAAGAUCACCCUGCUACUUAACAAUUCCUGAUUAAAGUUUAUUUCUUGGUAUAAAUGACCUUACAUUUCCAAUUGAGAGGGGAUUCCUUUCUUAGGCUUCUCACUCUUUGUCAAAUUCUACCAAAACUCAGAGAGCACUGGAUAUGUCUCUAUCUUUGCCCUCACUCUUUGGAAUUAGAAAUUAGCCAUUGCAUCGCUACAGACCCAGGCUAAUUGCCUGGGUUCAGUUUCUCUUUGUCUCUGGAGACUUGAGGCUUGUUACUACUUUCCCUGCUGCCUAAAUCAGACAGGCAAGGUGACAAAAUAAUUGCUUUCUAGUUUCUAGAAGAAAGAGGCUUAGUUUUCAACUAACUUUUUGGAAAUUAAACACUUAAAAUCCCACCUUAUGCAACAUUAUACCUCAGUACAGGAAUAGAAACCAUAGAAAAUGUAAAUACCAAGAACAAUGGUGUAGCAGAUCCUCAAGCCAGAGUCAACUUGCUUCAGGCAACAUGAGCAAGUCCCUGUGAUAGGGCUGAGAUGGAAAAAAGAGAAAGACCUCAUUUUUUGACCUAGUUACUGUGCCUCUGCCCAUCUUUCCUGACACGAGAAUCAAGAUGAUCCCAAAAUUUUCUACAACAUCAAUUUGUAUCACUGUAUGUACCUCUUUCCCCGAUUAAUUAGAAAAACUCUUUAGGGACACAAAAAAAAAAAGUCGUUCUGUAUAAAUUAGUUCACAAUCCUCAACCUGAGGCUGAACUGAUUAGUGCUUUCCCAGCACACUGAGCCACGAUGUGUGCUGGCUUUGGCCAUCCUUGGAAGUGACUUUUCCCUAGCUACAAAUAGAGCAAAAUGAUGCUGAUGCUGAUGGAGGAAGGACAAAAGAAGCUUUGAGGUCAUUUAUGCUUUACAUAGGAUGGCCUUAGCAAGUGUAUCAGAGGCAAGCAUUGAGAGGCCCCUGAUGGCUCUCUCAGAAGGACUGAGAAAAACACACGGAAAGAACUGUCACUCAAUACACUCUGUCUUCCUCAGUGGGAAAGCAUUCUGUGAUUUUCUCCAAACCCUUCCAUACCCUUUCAGAAGAGGGCGGCUCAGAUUGCCAUCCGGUCAAGGAUUGAUUUGAUUGCCUGGGCAUGGCGCAAAGGAAAACAAAUUCUUAUCCAUCAAAAACAGAGUUUGUGACUUUUGGUACUUUUGUCGUGAUGUCAAAGAGGCAGACACUUUGCUUUCAGUAUCUUUAGAAAAGUUGAAAUUCCUAGUUUUUGUUGUUUGUUUGUUUGUUUUAAACUCACCAACUCUUUGUUUCUAGAACCAAUUCAGCUAGACUAUGAAUAUCAUAAUCACUGUGAACUGUCGGGAGUGUCAGUAUAGCUUCUUCUAUAAAUCCAAAUUGGACUCUGAAGACUGGUAAUUAGAUACAUCUUUAUGUUCUCUGCUUUGACACCCCUACAAAUUGGCCUGGUCUCCUGGUUCUUGACUACUAUCACAUUGGCAGGCCCCAGGCUCUUCUCUAAGAAGCAGACCUUUUGUAAGGUCUGGUUUAAGUGAAAAAAAAUAAUUGCAACUUUAACUUAUUGAUUGCCUGCAUAUCUGAAAAGACAGUGAGCUACACCACAAUACUCAGGAAUCCCCAGUGGAAACGACUUAGCUUUGUUUUGUAUCCCAGACUCCAUAGUGUUCUUAGUUCUUAAAUGUAGUAUUUUAAUGAUCUCAAAUUAAGUAAUCUAAUUUAACAAAUAAUGAAACCAUCCCCCCUAGAGAGAGAACUGUAGGAAACAGUGUACUGACUAUAGUGAUAAGGCAGAGAGAUUCCACAACAAUUAGCUCUUGUAAUGAAGAUGCACAGUGAGUCUCAAGGUCAAGGUCAUUUAGCUGGAUAGAUGUCUUCCCUGGGGUCCAGGAGAGGGAAGUGCAUGGUAACAAGAUAGCUUUGCUUUUCAAUCUGCUUCCUCUGGGCAGAGUUUCACCUCCACGCUUUCUACCAACCAACCAUGAUUCACCUUUGUAAAUGGCUCUGCUUUUGAAUCCAUGGGAGGGAUGCCAGGGGCAUUGCUAUGUGAGAUUCUAAGAAUACUUUCAGUAUGGCAACCCCCUAUACCUGCUGCUUUGCCUCAGAGCAUUGUUCAGUGGACUGUGACUUCUGCGUAGAGCAGGCCAGCAGGAGGAAAGCCCAGGGUUUGGUUAUGGCUUUUCUGUAAUCUUCUAAAACCUAAUCUAUAGUCGAUAUGGGCCCUGAAUACAAGAUAAAUGCAAAUUGAAGUGAUUAAGAAAGGUUUUCAGAGCUUAUUUUCUGGCUACACACCCAAAAAUCCAUCAAGGGCCACUUACCUGAGAAUGUGGAUUCCAAGGCCCAGGGAAGAUGAGAGAGUGAGAAGCCACAUCCACCCACCAGCAGAAUGAUUGGCCUGCCUGCUUUGUUACUGUUUUCCUUUCAAAUCAUCCUCUUCAGCCACGGACAAUGAACAGGUGAGCUUGGCCUCCACACUAACAAAGGCAACACCGGUACCCACCUGCUUACACAUGCACUGGGUAGUUCUUAGCAAGCAGAUUACUUGUUUUUCAUUUAUAUAGUCAGUAUUUCCUGGGGUAAAUAAACGGAGGGUCAUAACAAAUGGGGCAAGACUAUGACUUCGAAGAAUUUAUUGUUAAAAUAGAACUAGGAAGAGUAGCUACAAUUUCAAUUUAUUGAUUGCCUCUUGUCCCCAGCAUCCUACCCGGACUUCUGCAUGCAGUCUAUGAUAUACCUAUUACCACCCCAAUUUAUACAUGAGAAACUGAACUGCUUCAGGGUUACUUGUCUUCACCAGAUUUCUUAAUCUUUCAGAGUCUUAAUCUUCUGUCCUUUCUCUCCUUCAAUGUCAGGCUUGUUCCCUUUACCCACGGUUUAACAGGAAAGGAAAGAUGCGAUCCAGCCCACAUAGCACCAGGCAUUGAAAACCAGGGAUUAAAAGUGAGCUUCUAAAAGCCUAGGUCCCUUCAUCUCCGUGGACCUGAGCACGGUUGGCUCUGACGUUCACAUUUGUCACUGUCACUAGGGGAUACUGCUCCCUUCUGACAGUAGCUGAGCUGCAGUGUAAACCCAUCCCCUGUAUUCCAUAGCUCCAGUAGGGAAAUUGUUCCCAGUGGAAGCAGAGAAAAUGUCAAGAGGCAUUGGGUAUUCAAAUAUGUGACAGUAUGCAGUGUUUAUUGAGUACAUGUCCAGAAGUGGUAUA